ACUCGUAAAUCUUUUAGACAUGACUGGAACGCACCAUUGGUCUUGGCCGAAAUAGGCAAAGGCGUUGCAAAUAUGGCCGCCGAGUGAACAGACUUUCCUUGAAAGGGACUUUGGUAAAUAAGGAGAGAAGGCCGCGACAGGAAAUCUGUUGUUUGUAGUCAACAUUUCAAACGGGAUGACCACGAACACAGUGUUUUAGGCCACAACAGAGGGGAAGUUGAAAGAAACGGCCGUUCUGUCAGUUCAGCCCAACCCCCGAACCAAAACGCCAUCGCGAACAGGAAAAUGGCUUGCAAGUGAGGAGUGACUACAGCUUGAUAAGUGGCAAACCAUUAUUUUCCAGGCCGCCUUUGAGGCAAAGAUGCUUCAUCUUAUCAUGGGCCUGGCUCAGGGCCGCCGAAAUGUGACACGGUGCUCAUUCUGAGAAACACCAAAGACGGAAACACCAAAGAUGCUUUAAUAUAUCAUGUGUUUUAUUAGACAGGCCAUUCCACAACUCUCCUGCCAACAUUUAAGACUUCCUGUAAGACAGGCGGGCGGCAGGAAGUUGCACACACGCGUUGACCAGAGACGCUUCAGUCAAGAGCAUGAAAGAACCACAAGCGUGCCGAUCAACAAAGAAUGUCAUACAUGUUUGGAACAACAUGAAGAUACGAGACCGAAAUGAAAUCUCUUAUCGUUUGAUGACAACUCAUUUACUUCUUGAUCAACACAACAUUGGCUUUCGGGUCAGGAUUAUCUGAUGAGGAAUGUUCUGGAAACCUGUUUGAAAAUAGUAAUUAUUUUUGCAAUUCAUUUCUUGAUACUGGUUGCAUACUUCUUAAGUGCAUUUAAUUAUUUGGACUAAUUUAAUAAUGCAUUCAGCUGUAAGAGUUACUCUCAGCUCUGUCCCCACACAUUUUACCAUGUACCUUUUUUACAGAUUUUUCCUUAAUGCAAAUCAGUAUAUAUUUUUUCUCACGUUGCUGAUAUGACGCAGAGGCUUUUGUCCCAACUGCUGUUAUAUUGCACGCAAGUGCAUGUGUGGGACCCAGGGAUUUUUACGGCCCAUCCCUUGUUGUCUCCAGAGGGUGCUUCCACUCAGGUCCUGGCCAUUUCUACCGGCGUUCUUCCCCACCUGUGUGUCGUGCUCUUGUAUAUUGCUGUAUGCCUUCUCUCAUCUUUCUUCCUCUAGAAAGACGAAAAAACUCUGACAUUUGGAAGAGAUUGGUGGGAAAAGCAAUCUCAGAUCACUCGGUCCCAGCAGAUCACACGCAGCUUACCGGGGAGAGCGAGACUCUGGCAUUAUUUGAACCGGUAACUUCUUUACAGCUAAAAUGGCGCAGCCUUGGAUAUUUUUUUCUCCUCUUGUCCUCUCCUCCGCUUUAAUGGGUGAGUGGAGAGCUCGUGCACCGCCUGCUCGUGACAUUCGCCGUUUGCGGAGACGUCUCCGUGUGAUGGGCCUCAGCUAAGAGCUUUAGGAGUCCCACACCAUAUGUUUCCUCCCAGGAUCACCCCGUCCUGCAGAAUUACAGGAACCCGAGCUUAAAAAACACAAUUAGUUAAAGGUGAAACGUUUAAGUCCCUAUCGCACACGCAGGGUGGCCACCGACACGAUCCACCUCCGGCUAAAUGUGGCUUUGGUGCGUUUGGUGCCGUGGCCUUUCUUUAUGCAACAGUUUGCUCUGCAUCACAUCUCUCUGCAUUCAGCACUUCACCUUUGUCUGUUAGUAAGGGUGUUUUAUUUUGGGAUUUAAGGCAAUUUAUACGGCUAAACUGACUUUUUAUUUAUUAUUUUAAUUUUUUUAAAGAAAUUUCAAUUGGAAACUUAUAUUUUUAUGAUGUAUUAUUUAUUAUUAUUAAGCAAUAUUUUUGAUUUGGCAUCUGGCAUUGUUUUUAAACAAUUUUAUUUUUUAUUUUUAUGAUGUACUCGUGAAUUGGAAAUCUAUAAAAAGAGAUCCAUACCAUAAUCAUAAUGUUUUGUUGAUGUUUUUCAUCUGAUGCUGACCCCAACAUAAAACACUGAUUUUUUUUUAAUUAAGUUAAUUAAUUAAUUACAAAAAAGUUUAAUUAGACCAACAAAAAAUGUGUGUCCUAUGUAUUAAUAAAUAAUUAAAUACAUA